GUCGUGAUGAAUAUGGCGUCGUCGUGGGGAAUGACGGUCGUGGGGUGGUUGGUUUUGUAAAUGGUAUGCGAGGCGUAUCGUAGGUGUAACCCUUGGUUGGUUCAGGUGGCAAAUAGGUGUUGCGCCUUGUCCCUGGUGGUACAACGAAGGGGAUCUUCUAGUGAAAUAUAGGAAAAAUGGAACAAAAUUAACUGUGUAAUAGAUGGAGGAAGAAGAAGCUAAUUAUGAUUGCAAAGAUUAUUGUUGUUUCUUCAAAGAUAUCCUCCUACUUCGUCCACCUACUCCUAUUUACACAACAGUACACUGAAUCAUGGUGCAGCCUUUAAUGGCAGCGCAUUUCCUCUUCUCGGCGAAACGCGUGUCAGCUGCGGGCACAAAACGCAGCACGUGAUGCGAAUCUAAUGAACUGUUGGCGUGUUGCAAAUUAGUCUAUACUUGGAUUUGGCAACAAGUCGACAGAUGUAUAAUGCGACAUUCGCGGGCGUUGUUUUCUUUAAUUAGUGGCUUAAGAGAUUACGCAAACUUAACAUCUUAGGACACAUGUCCUGUAUAAGUGGUAGUAAUUAGAUUUUUACAAGUUCGUUGAAUGCACUUGUAUGAUGUCGAUUUAAACGUUUCUAACUAAGCUAUUACAGAUUUAACCUAACGAGUCACAUUUGUUGCAAAAAAUAUACAUAGUUCUAAUUUGAUAAAGGUAGGUUGAAAUUGUAACACAGGUUAAAUUACUUUUUUAAAGAUUCAGACCAUUUUUGUAACAUCCUGUAUGUCAUAGUUUCAUAUUGUAUUAUCUGACAUGGUGUUAUAACAAUGAACAACUAAUGCUUAUUUACUCAUUAAAAAAAUCAUAAGACAGAAGAUCACAAUCACUAUAAGUGAAGAAUAAUUAAAGAGACGAUAAUUGAGUAUAACUUGUUGCAAUUAUGAGGAAGAAGAAAUGAUCUAAUUAUAGGAAUUAAAUACUGAGUUAAUAUUUAGUUAUUUACUAAGAAAAUCAUAAAAGAAGAGAUUAAUGAUAUUAUAAGUGAAUACAGUGAUCGAGAAGACUUUUGUUUGGAAUGAAAAGAAAGAAGAAAUGGGUCAAUUAUAGAUUACUAAUAGAAUAUCGGAAAAGUAAAAUUAAAUCAUUAGCAACGAGUAGCAAUUGAGAAGAGAAUAAUAGGAGAAGUGCACAAAGAGCGACGUAAUUGCUCGAGGAAUACUGUAUUUCACAGUGCGUAUGUGUCGCUUAUUCGCAGGGAUUUCGCAACGAUUUAAUUACACGCCUUCCGCCUCAUUUCUACUUGAUCUUCUGGCUGUGAUGACCCCGGUACAAUGAAUGCGUGCGAGAUUGUUUCCUUCGAACUCGUCUCGGUUCCUGAUUGCUAAAUUAAUAUGCACCAGAUCUGUCUUAUUAUGGAAAUAAAACAAAUAGCUCCACAAUCUCUUCUAAAAAUAACAGUAGGAAAUGGAGUAGCAUUCCAAGAAGAGUCCAUAUCUUAAAAUGCUUCAUUAACUGAAAUCAACUGUCUUAUUAUGUUGCAAUAAACAUAACCUGAGAUGAAACGUCCCGUAAUUCUUCAGGUGGAAAAGAUUCUAUCAGCGAUGCAAUUAACUGCUCAUUUACUGUUCGAUUACGUGCAUCGACGUUUCACCUGGCACGUGCAACGCUGCCCCAUGGAAAUAUCAAUCAGUUGAAGAGCUCUGCUGUUGAAUGUACCAUGAGAUCUUAGUUCAGUGCACUAUAGAAUCCAUUUCUGAUUAAUGUUUAAGGAAUACUUGCUAUGAAAGGCAAAGAGAAUAAUGAAUGUAACAAAAGAAACUUAUUGAGAAAACCAAUUUUUAACACCUUAGUGAAUUUCAAAAGAAGAGAAGAAAUAUCUGGUGUCAAAGGUAAAGAAAGAGAAUAAUGAAUAUAAGGAAACAGAUUUAUUAUGGAAACCAACUUUUAAUACUUUAGUCCAUUUAUAAAAAGGACAAGAAAUAGAUAACAAUUGAUAUGAAAAAUGAAGAAGAAGGAUCCAAACCCAACAUAAAUCAAUUUUUAACACCUUUGCUCAUUAUUAAAGAGGAUAAAGAGAUGGGAGAGUAUGGAAGGUGAAGAAAGGGAAUUUUGUAGAAAAUUAUUGAAAUGCAAUUAAAUGUUUCAAUGAAUUCUUCUCUUCUCUUCUUCUCUGAGAUUGAAUAUCCUUGUAGAAUGAAAUAUUGUAUUUUUUACUGGUAAUGGACUUAAUGAUGACGACCUUCACUCUAGAAUGAGGAAGAAAUUAAUUGGAAAGUAGCAAGAAGUAUUUCUUCCAUUUGAAGACUGAAUUAUGAAAUUUCUUCUGGAGUGGAGCCAAUCAAAAAGCUGAAGAAACAAGGAAAUGCCGGGAAUAUUGCAAAAUAAUUCACAAUCUUGCGAAGAAUGUUAAACAGCCUUCUCUCAUCAGCAUCGUCGCUCAUUUAAAUUUGCCAACUGAAGAAAGAGCUGGCUUGCACCAUUGUCUCAAGCAAGUUAUUGUUUAAUGUUCACUGUCACAGCCAAAAUGACAUGGAAAAGUAUUCUAUAAGGAGUAGGAAGAAUCUAUUGUCGCAAAUCUCCUGGCACAUCCAAGGUGCACGGAUUCAAGAGGCAAACGGAGAAAGGCACGCGCGGGUACGCAC